UAUGUGUGAGUGUUCAGCCCAGAAACAUUUAUUUCAGUAAGAGUUUCCUUUGAAUACAGGUAUAGAAGGUUUUUGUACUGGGUUAUACAGAAACUUGAACUAUGAAGUUAAGAUGUUUUCUAAAUAGGGUAAAUGCCAAAUAAAGUGGCUGUUAAUAUUUUCAUUUUCAAUCUUUUUCUAAGAUAAAGGUUCAUGGGGUUACAGUAUAUUUUUAACAUGAUUUUCUGAUAUGUUGUGCACUGACAGCCUUCUCCAGCCUGUUGCAGAUCAUUGUGCUGUGCAGCUGCAGCUCCUCCCAUGCAGCUAUAAGAGCCCAGCUGACCAGGUAGUCAGGGUCCAUCCUUAAAAUAGGUCACAGCAAAUCCACUACAGAAAAGUCUGGCAGCUUUAUCAAAAGAGUUUAUUUUCAUCAGUGGUUAAAUGCAGCCUUCGUGCCACAGAUGGAGGGUUAGUCCCUGAGUUGUUUUCGGGCUGAUUUUUCUUCAGAGGACUUGGAGCUGGAAGUGGUGGUGGUGUAACUCUUGAAGAUGACUUUUGCCAUGCUGCGGCCUGUGGCGACGCACUUAAUCUACUCAGACUUCGGAGUCACUUCAGAGGACGAUGAAAAGUGCAGCGAAAGCGACGGCAGCUCGGAGCGAAGUUACUGCGAAAGCUCCGAGAAGCGAAGAAGGAUUUCACGAAAACUGGAAAAAGACACGACAAUGGUAAAGCAGAGGAGCGCAGCGAACGCCAGGGAGAGAGGCAGGACCCAAAGUGUCAACACUGCGUUCACGGCUCUCCGGACACUGAUACCCACGGAGCCAGUGGACAGAAAACUCUCCAAGAUUGAAACUCUGCGCCUGGCGUCCAGCUACAUUUCCCAUCUGGCCAACGUGCUUCUCCUGGGAGACGGCGGCGCUGAUGGACAGCCCUGCCUUGGUGCGGUCCAUGCGCAAGAGGAGAGCGGGACCAAGCAGCCUCGAACCAUCUGCACCUUCUGUUUGAGCAACCAAAGAAAAGGGGUAAAUGCUAUUUUAUAGCCUGAUGGCAAAGUAUACUUCAGCAGAGUGUAAACACAAGAGCAGAUUAACAGUAAACAACAUAUUCCUGAUCCCAGAUACACUUAUUAUUUUUAUGACCUUGCUUUUUGCUUUUUUCUUUUCUUUUUUUGUCCAGUGCAGAUUAUAUUUACUUUGUUAAUCAUUCCUAUUCUUAAGUCCAACUAUUUUUUUGUCCUUGGACUUCUGGAUGUAAAAUUUGGUUUUACGCACUAAUUUUACGCACGAGUUUUGAUCCCUGCAAGUCCCUCUCACAGGCAGAUACAGGUGGUUACAGUUUUACACAACUGUAAAGACAUGCUCUACUCAAAAUAUACAAAAUAAAGGAUGGGAAAGACUGUUUUAAAAUGCGAGGACUGGGUCCACUGCGAAUGAGACGCUGACUUACAACCAGUGAAUGAUGAGCAACCUGUAAAUCCUCAGACUGUCUCAGGGAAGAGUGGAAGCUGGUGUUACAGAGUACACACAGGCACAUUUUCACAUGCUGGAUACAAUGGUGGAACCAAAAA